UACAGAGGGUGCAAGCGUUAAUCGGAUUUACUGGGCGUAAAGCGUGCGUAGGUGGCUGUUUAAGUCGGAUGUGAAAGCCCUGGGCUUAACCUGGGAACUGCAUUCGAUACUGGAUAGCUAGAGAUCGGUAGAGGGCAGCGGAAUUCCGGGUGUAGCGGUGAAAUGCGUAGAUAUCCGGAGGAACACCGAUGGCGAAGGCA
rnacentral:rRNA from 1 species